GCAGCCUGUAGCACGAUGACGUAGCUGGAUCAGAUCCAAUACGUACUGGACGUUGUCACGAGCAUGCGCGGUGGUGUGUUUCGGUGACGUCAUAGACGCAUGCGCAGUAGAGAGUUGGUAAACGAUCGCACGUGCUUUGGUCUUCCUAGAAGAGUCUACAGAAAACGGUGGAUUAAUUAACAGUGAUUGUUUAUCGAUGAAUGUCUUUAAAAAGGGCAGUUGUCCAGUAAUUUCAAGGUGCACAAGGUGCUGUAACCAGUACCACUGCCCUUUUUGUGAGACGUACAAAACCACAUCACAACUAUCCAUUGAUAACCAUGUAGAGGAUCAUCUAAAAUUGGCAGUAAAUCAUGAUGAUUUUGUGAUUGUUAAGUGCAAUUCACACUGUAGAGAAAAUGCACAUUUUCAUUGCUGUUACUGUCCUGCUACAGUAAUAAGAAAAGUGCAGUUAAUUACUCAUCUUAAAAAAUGUAAACAAAAGUUGGCUAUUCCUGGGCAGGAAGCUCAGUCUCCAUUCCUGCAUAGCCCAGCAGCCACUGCUCCACUUUCUACUAUUUCAGCACAGACUUCUCAUGUCAUUACACAGGCGCCUCCCCUGUCUUGCCCCAUGGCUAUCCAA